rnacentral:rRNA from 1 species
CUUUUCGCCAAGGGAUGAGACUAUAUGGCAUCAGGUAGUUGGUGGGGUAAUGGCCCACCAAGCCAAUGACGCCUAGCUGGUCUGAGAGGAUGAUCAGCCACACUGGUACUGAGACACGGACCAGACUCCUACGGGAGGCAGCAGUGGGGAAUAUUGCACAAUGGAGGAAACUCUGAUGCAGCAACGCCGCGUGGAGGAUGACGCAUUUCGGUGUGUAAACUCCUUUUAUAUGGGAAGAUAAUGACGGUACCAUAUGAAUAAGCACCGGCUAACUCCGUGCCAGCAGCCGCGGUAAUACGGAGGGUGCAAGCGUUACUCGGAAUCACUGGGCGUAAAGCGCGCGCAGGCGGUUUGACAAGUUGGAUGUGAAAUCCUAUGGCUCAACCAUAGAACUGCAUCCAAAACUGUCAAACUAGAGUCUGGGAGAGGAAGAUGGAAUUAGUUGUGUAGGGGUAAAAUCCGUAGAGAUAACUAGGAAUACCAAAAGCGAAGGCGAUCUUCUGGAACAGUACUGACGCUGA